AUUGAACGCUGGCGGCAGGCUUAACACAUGCAAGUCGAACGAGUGGCGGACGGGUGAGUAAUGUCUGGGAAACUGCCUGAUGGAGGGGGAUAACUACUGGAAACGGUAGCUAAUACCGCAUACCAUCGGAUGUGCCCAGAUGGGAUUAGGUAGUGGGUGGGGUAAAGGCUCACCUAGGCGACGAUCCCUAGCUGGUCUGAGAGGAUGACCAGCCACACUGGAACUGAGACACGGUCCGGACUCCUACGGGAGGCAGCAGUGGGGAAUAUUGCACAAUGGGCGCAAGCCUGAUGCAGCCAUGCCGCGUGUAUGAAGAAGGCCUUCGGGUUGUAAAGUACUUUCAGUGGGGAGGCGUUACCCGCAGAAGAAGCACCGGCUAACUCCGUGCCAGCAGCCGCGGUAAUAC
rnacentral:rRNA from 1 species